rnacentral:rRNA from 1 species
AGUGAACGCUGGCGGCGUGCUUAACACAUGCAAGUCGAACGAGAACGGAUUAUAGCUUGCUAUAGUUGUCAGCUAAGCGGCGCACGGGUGAGUAAUGUAUAGGUAAUAUGCCUCUUACUAAGGGAUAACAAAUGGAAACGUUUGCUAAUACCUUAUACUCCUUAUUAACAUAAGUUAAUAAGGGAAAGAUUUAUUGGUAAGAGAUUAGCCUGUAUUGUAUCAGUUAGUUGGUGGGGUAAUGGCUUACCAAGACUAUGACACAUAACUGGUUUGAGAGGAUGAUCAGUCACACUGGAACUGAGACACGGUCCAGACUCCUACGGGAGGCAGCAGUGGGGAAUAUUGCACAAUGGACGAAAGUCUGAUGCAGCAACGCCGCGUGGAGGAUGACACAUUUCGGUGCGUAAACUCCUUUUAUAUGAGAAGAUAAUGACGGUAUUAUAUGAAUAAGCACCGGCUAACUCCGUGCCAGCCGCCGCCGUAA